CAGUCGCCGCGGGAAUACGAAGGGUGCAAGCGUUAAUCGGAAUUACUGGGCGUAAAGCGUGCGUAGGCGGUGAGUUAAGUCUGCUGUGAAAUCCCCGGGCUUAACCUGGGAACUGCAUUUGUGACUGGCGGGCUAGAGUAUGGCAGAGGGGGGUAGAAUUCCGCGUGUAGCAGUGAAAUGCGUAGAUAUGCGGAGGAACACCGAUGGCGAAGGCAAUCCCCUGGGCCUGCACUGACGCUCAUGCACGAAAGCGUGGGAGCAAACAGGAUUAGAUACCCGUGUAGUCCCUGUCUCUUAUACA
rnacentral:rRNA from 1 species